ACUGCAACUGGAGGGGGACCCAGUACUCCUGACCUAACACAAAUUGACACGAAAGUUGCAUCCAUAAUUGGCACCGCAAGCGUGAGUGGCAUCGUGUCCGAAAGGGAAGGAGACACUGACAACACAGAAGAACAAGACUCAGCGGUCGGUGGGGAGGAGGACGAUGAUGCCGGCGAGGGGCCCUCGGCCGCAGGUCAUCCGGCUGCCCCCACCCCCAGCACCAAGCGUCAGUCCGCUGGUCGGGUCCUCACAGACGCAGUUCUGCAGCUACAGAGGGAAACGAUAGAUGCAGUCAACAACUUGACUGAGGAGAUGAGGCAGAUUCGAAAUGUUAUCACUGAAAUUGCCACAAUAUUAAAAGAUACUGUGAAAAAAUGAA